rnacentral:rRNA from 1 species
GACGAACGCUGGCGGCGUGCUUAACACAUGCAAGUCGAACGGAAAGGCCCCUUUGGGGGUACUCGAGUGGCGAACGGGUGAGUAACACGUGAGUAACCUGCCCUUGACUUCGGGAUAACUUCAGGAAACUGGGGCUAAUACCGGAUAGGAAUCCUUGCUGCAUGGUGGGGGUUGGAAAGCUUCGGCGGGUUUGGAUGGACUCGCGGCUUAUCAGCUUGUUGGUGGGGUAGUGGCUUACCAAGGCUUUGACGGGUAGCCGGCCUGAGAGGGCGACCGGCCACAUUGGGACUGAGAUACGGCCCAGACGCCUACGGGAGGCAGCAGUGGGGAAUAUUGCACAAUGGGCGGAGGCCUGAUGCAGCAACGCCGCGUGCGGGAUGACGGCCUUCGGGUUGUAAACCGCUUUCAGCAGGGGCGAAGCUUGUGGUGACGGUACCUGCAGAAGAAGCACCGGCUAACUACGUG